rnacentral:rRNA from 1 species
GAUGAACGCUGGCGGCGUGCCUAAUACAUGCCAGUCGAGCGAACAGACGAGGAGCUUGCUCCUCUGACGUUAGCGGCGGACGGGUGAGUAACACGUGGAUAACCUACCUAUAAGACUGGGAUAACUUCGGGAAACCGGAGCUAAUACCGGAUAACAUGUUGAACCGCAUGGUUCAACAGUGAAAGAAGGUCUUGCUGUCACUUAUAGAUGGAUCCGCGCCGCAUUAGCUAGUUGGUAAGGUAACGGCUUACCAAGGCAACGAUGCGUAGCCGACCUGAGAGGGUGAUCGGCCACACUGGAACUGAGACACGGUCCAGACUCCUACGGGAGGCAGCAGUAGGGAAUCUUCCGCAAUGGGCGAAAGCCUGACGGAGCAACGCCGCGUGAGUGAAGAAGGUCUUCGGAUCGUAAAACUCUGUUAUUAGGGAAGAACAAAUGUGUAAGUAACUAUGCACGUCUUGACGGUACCUAAUCAGAAAGCCACGGCUAACUACGUG